rnacentral:tRNA from 1 species
GCUUGGGUAGCUCAAUUGGUAGAGCAAAAGAUUGAAGCUCUUUAGGUCAUUGGUUCAAAUCCGAUCUCAAGCA